GUAGGGAAUAUUGCACAAUGGAGGAAACUCUGAUGCAGCGACGCCGCGUGAGUGAUGAAGGCCUUCGGGUCGUAAAACUCUGUGAUAAGGGAAGAUGAUGACGGUACCUUAUCAGAAAAGACCGGCUAACUUCGUGCCAGCAGCCGCGGUAAUACGAGGGGUCUAAGCGUUGUUCGGAAUCACUGGGCGUAAAGCGGGUGUAGGUGGCUAUGCAAGUUGGAUGUGAAAGCCCCGGGCUCAACCCGGGAAGUGCAUCCAAAACUACGUAGCUUGAGUGCGGGAGAGAAAGGCAGAAUUCCUGGUGUAGUGGUGAAAUACGUAGAUAUCAGGAGGAACUCCGGUGGCGAAGGCGGCCUUUUGGCCCAGCACUGACACUGAGGCACGAAAGCGUGGGGAGCAAACAGGAUUAGAAACCCUAGUAGUCC
rnacentral:rRNA from 1 species